AACGAACGCUGGCGGCAUGCCUAACACAUGCAAGUCGAACGAGACCUUCGGGUCUCUUGGCGCACGGGUGCGUACCGCGUGGGAACCUGCCCUUAGGUUCGGAAUAACCCCUCGAAAGGGGUGCUAAUACCGGAUAAUGUCUUCGGACCAAAGAUUUAUCGCCUUUGGAUGGGCCCGCGUUGGAUUAGCUAGUUGGUAUGGUAAAAGCCUACCAAGGCGACGAUCCAUAGCUGGUCUGAGAGGAUGAUCAGCCACACUGGGACUGAGACACGGCCCAGACUCCUACGGGAGGCAGCAGUGGGGAAUAUUGGACAAUGGGCGAGAGCCUGAUCCAGCAAUGCCGCGUGAGUGAUGAAGGCCUUAGGGUUGUAAAGCUCUUUUACCCGGGAUGAUAAUGACAGUACCGGGAGAAUAAGCUCCGGCUAACUCCGUG
rnacentral:rRNA from 1 species